AAUGGUCACAAUUUAAUGGAUAUCAAUCAACAAAGAGGUAUACAGACGAGGAGGCAUACAUUUGGUAUGUAUGUACCAUCGUCCUCCCUUACCUCUUCAAUGAAAAUCCCAUAGGCCUCUACAUUAUGUACAAGACUUCACCCACCCUACACCUCUGAUGUAU